rnacentral:pre_miRNA from 1 species
AGAGUGGGAAUGCAGCCAAGGAUGACUUGCCGGCAUUUCCCUAGUAAUAAGCAAUUUAAAAAUAAAAAUAAAAGUGUUUAAGCUGGGUCUUGUGGGCGGAUUGUCCUUGGCUACAUUUGGCUCUCC